rnacentral:rRNA from 1 species
AGAGUUUGAUCCUGGCUCAGGAUGAACGCUGGCGGCGUGCUUAACACAUGCAAGUCGAACGAAGCACUUCAUAAAGCUUGCUUUAAGAAGUGACUUAGUGGCGGACGGGUGAGUAACGCGUGGGUAACCUGCCUUACACAGGGGGAUAACAGUUAGAAAUGACUGCUAAUACCGCAUAAAACAGCAGAGUCGCAUGACUCAACUGUCAAAGAUUUAUCGGUGUAAGAUGGACCCGCGUCUGAUUAGCUAGUUGGUGGGGUAACGGCCUACCAAGGCGACGAUCAGUAGCCGGCCUGAGAGGGUGAACGGCCACAUUGGGACUGAGACACGGCCCAAACUCCUACGGGAGGCAGCAGUGGGGAAUAUUGCACAAUGGGGGAAACCCUGAUGCAGCAACGCCGCGUGAAGGAUGACGGUUUUCGGAUUGUAAACUUCUUUUCUUAGUGACGAAGACAGUGACGGUAGCUAAGGAAUAAGCAUCGGCUAACUACGUGCCAGCAGCCGCGGUAAUACGUAGGAUGCAAGCGUUAUCCGGAUUUACUGGGUGUAAAGGGAGCGCAGGCGGGACUGCAAGUUGGAUGUGAAAUACCGUGGCUUAACCACGGAACUGCAUCCAAAACUGUAGUUCUUGAGUGAAGUAGAGGCAAGCGGAAUUCCGAGUGUAGCGGUGAAAUGCGUAGAUAUUCGGAGGAACACCAGUGGCGAAGGCGGCUUGCUGGGCUUUAACUGACGCUGAGGCUCGAAAGUGUGGGGAGCAAACAGGAUUAGAUACCCUGGUAGUCCACACUGUAAACGAUGAUUGCUAGGUGUGGGGGGUCUGACCCCUUCCGUGCCGGAGCUAACGCAAUAAGCAAUCCACCUGGGGAGUACGACCGCAAGGUUGAAACUCAAAGGAAUUGACGGGGACCCGCACAAGCAGUGGAUUAUGUGGUUUAAUUCGAAGCAACGCGAAGAACCUUACCAGGGCUUGACAUCCAACUAACGAAGCAGAGAUGCAUUAGGUGCCCUUCGGGGAAAGUUGAGACAGGUGGUGCAUGGUUGUCGUCAGCUCGUGUCGUGAGAUGUUGGGUUAAGU